GUAGGUGGCAAGCGUUGUCCGGAAUUAUUGGGCGUAAAGCGCGCGCAGGUGGUUCUUUAAGUCUGAUGUGAAAGCCCCCGGCUCAACCGGGGAGGGUCAUUGGAAACUGGGGAACUUGAGUGCAGGAGAGGAAAGUGGAAUUCCACGUGUAGCGGUGAAAUGCGUAGAUAUGUGGAGGCACACCAGUGGCGAAGGCGACUUUCUGGCCUGUAACUGACACUGAGGCGCGAAAGCGUGGGGAGCAAACAGGGAUUAGAUACCCUGGUAGUCCACGCCGUAAACGAUGAGUGCUAAGUGUUGGGGGGGUUUCCGCCCCCUCAGUGCUGCAGCUAACGCAUUAAGCACUCCGCCUGGGAGUACGGUCGCAAGACUG
rnacentral:rRNA from 1 species